UACAGUAUCCGAAGGUGUGUCCACAUUUUUGGGACUGUGACAGAACGUCUGGUGUUGCCAACGCCUUAUUCAGUUUACCCGCAGCAACAAAUAAGCGAGUUGCCAUAAAAGCACAGCCAGUCCAAAGGUGAGGAAGUGUGGAUCAAAACGCCAGCAAAAGGGUGUCGAGCUGAGAUUUGGUUUCAUCCAGGCAGAAAGUCAUCCUGCAAAGAUGCCCCUCAGAUAUCCUGUCUAUCGACCCUACGUUUGUCAGCCGGCGUAUCGCCCCGUCGUGGCUUGCGCUCCACGGGUGUACUGUCCUCCGGCUCCAGUUUAUGGACCCUACGGAGGAAGGCCCGUCCUCGGGGGAUUUCGGCCGGGCUACGGCUACAACUACAGCUACGGCUACGG